rnacentral:sRNA from 1 species
AUGAGCAUUCCCAACACAUAUAUAUUGAGUUAAAAUCGGCAGAGCAAAAUUCGUAUCUAUUGUUGUUUGAUGUUUUAAACGGGAAAUUCAAAAAGGAUAUCUAAGGCUGUGCUCAUUGUAUCUAUUCAAUAGAAGAAACGCAAUGUACUUCCAGAUUAAAGAUGGCAACACAUGAUGGGGCUCAGUC